CAGGUGGGACCAGUGGUAUGGAAAAGCCAGAAGAAGCAGUGAGAAUAUGAGCCAGCAGUUGGGUGAAGGGGAGAGAUUCUACACCAAAACAACCCCGAAACAAAAAAUGGAAUUUCAUUCAUCCCCUUGAGAUACUGCAUAGCUAGUGUUGUGAGUAUUUUUCAAAGUGCUUCUGUGGAAUUCUGUUUUACCCUUGGAAUUUACUGUAGU
rnacentral:lncRNA from 1 species